GAAUUGCAAGCAAUGCAUGACCCGUGGCUCACAGAUCGGCCCCAAACAAGACGCAAUAUCCAGGUGUCUGGUGGAAAAGCAACUUCACAGGACUGGUCUAACCAAGAGAUUAUUGUAAUCCAUCAACUUUGGCAGCAUCAGCCAGAUGAAAUUGGUCAAGGAAUAAAUCAAGUAGAAGUAAAAGACCUUUUAAUCCACAAUCACACACAUCCGCACUGCCUGGAGAAGGAAAGGCUCUUUGCGAUACCACCUGAGUGCGUGAAACAGAAGAGCAGGCAUGCUGAACACCAAGAGCUAUUCCUCUGAAACCAGCCGCCAGGCACCAUAUGAAACACCAGCACUAUCUGACCUUCAGAAGCUGUUCUGGUUCAGAGGAGGGUCUGACAAUCAUUUGGACCAAGUCUGGCCAAACCUAUUCCUGGGAGACGUGUAAGGGGAUAUUGUAUAUUAUGUUGUUACUAGCACACUAGAGAGAGAUGGAGGGGUGUAAAGGUGGUUAACAGUGAGAUGUAAAGCUAUGCUCACAUCACAGGGUUCCAAAGCCAAACACCAUGACAGUCAGCCUCAAGUGGUUUGGAUGUCAAGAAAAGCUUGACAUGUACACGUAUAACUUACUCCUAGUCUGCCUGAGCUGUGCUUUCUACAUUCCAUGGAUCACAAUGGAUUUUAGCAAGAUAAACAUAUUUAUUAUUUUUAUCAUGGACAUUGACAACUGGGUCUUGGGGGGCUUUAUCUCCCCCAGAUAUUUAGGGUUUGCAUUUAUAAAGGAAACAGUUUAAAACACAAGCUCAAUUAUCUCACUGUAUUAGAAGUGGACUCAUUUAGUUAUGGUACAAAGCUACUCCAAGUGACAUUCAACAGCUCUUAUUUUAUUAUCUUUUAACUCUAGGUACUCCAAAUAAAAAAAAGGUGUCUGUUCCCCUCUGUAUAUAAUAAUGCCUAGAAGGCCCCAACUGAGAUCGCUAUCUCAUUGUGCUAAGCACUGUACAUAUACAUGCUUAGAGAGAGUCCCUGCCCUUAAGACCUUAUUCUCUAAAUAAGACGGAAAAUGGGUGAGAAAGGAAGUAUUAUUAUGCCCAUUUUACAGACAGGUAACUGAGGUACAAGAGGUUCAGCCUCAGGAGUCAGAAUGAAGAGAGGACAAAGAUCCAUAAUUAUAUGGUAGGGGGCCCCACAGAUGCAAACACAGAAUUUCUUUUACCAGCUUAUAACUAAAUAUCAAAACAUAUUGCACAAUUACUUUGUACUUGUGGCAAAAGACACAUUGCUGAGCUACUUUGCCUCUCUCUAUCAAUCACCAGACAGACACUUCUGUCUAUUUGUCUAAAUUGCUUUUCAUCCGAGGAUCUUAAAGUGCUUUAAAAACAUCAAACAAACAUCACCACUUCCUUGUGCAAUAACUUUAUCCCCAUUUUACAGAUGGGAAAUCAGGGAGGCCUGCAGAGAGGAAAUGACUUGUUCAAGGUCACACAGUGAGUCAGUGUCAGAAACAGGAAUGGAACCCAAGAAAGAAUGGCUAUUUUCAAUAACUGCAGGGCUUUGAGAUGUUUUGUUCACAUGGAGCCCACUUCAUGGGGCACGUGCGUACCAGAAGUGGGAUCGGUGUGGACAGUCAAAGGAGAAUCCUAACUACUAUCCUUUGCUCUAACCACUGAACAACAUUCCCAGUGAUUAACUACAAGGAGGGAGUUUCCUGAACAACUGGUAUCUCACAGGCUGGUCUGUACUCAUGUAGCCCCUUCUCUGAAGUGUGGCUCAAACCUUCUCCCUUCUCUCUCCAUGCUGCUUGCCAUCAUCAAUAUUAGGAACUGCUUCUUCCUUCUCCUUGCACAGGUUGGGUCCUGGGUAUUUUCUGGCGUGUGAUGCCUCUACCCGAGGUGACUCCUCACUGCCCCAUGCACAGGGGUGCUUCCCUUUGAGAAAAAUCAAUACAACUAGUUGGCAAGGAGUGUGAAGCCCAGUACAUGAGGGACAAUGAAGUACAUAAACAGAAACCCCAGAAAAGGAAGAACACACCUAAAAGAGCAACAUAACAAAGGGGGGCUUUACAGGAACAGGAAAAUAGAAUUGAGGGAAGGAAAGGGUUAAGGUUAACUAAUAAGUACUAAACAUUAAUAAACAAACAAAUCUCUCACCUCCCAACACUCACAAUUUAUCCCAACCUCCAGCUCCCAUCCUGGCAUCUUCCCAGGCACAUGGCAUCCUGAGGUUGAAUCCUGAGAAGGAGUGUUGCAGCACUGUGAUAUGGGCAGGUUUAGAUAGAAGUCAGCUUACUUUAAUUCUUCAUGCCUGGCUGGGCCAGGAUCUUCUCUGGACUCAUACCAGGCUUGCUGUUUCCAUGAUCUAGAAUCCUGGGGGGAGGGGGGGGGGAUCGUCUUGGCUGGCUCUCAGUAGCUGGCACCAGGUCGUAUCUCUCUCUGGCUGGGUGCUGGAACGGCCCAAUCCAUGCAGCUAGAUCUCACAGCAAAGCAAACACUUGCUUUGGGGGCAGUGGGCGCUGUGCUGUUUCUUUCCCACUUUCCAAACUCAAAACUGAAAUUAAACCUAUCUGUGUGGAGUCAGGCUGUCCCCGGCUGGGGGCGUGCAGCCCUGGCUUGUCACUGGUCCACUGGACUGCCUCCGUAUUAGCCUCACCAGUAAUUUCUAGUUCUUUCUGUCCCCACCCCUGACUCCAUGCGCGCUGGGAAAUGGUGUCACAAGGCUCUGGUAGUUGCUUUAGUUGUAGUCCUUUUG